AUGAGUCUGGCAGAGCUGGGACAGGCCCCAGAGAAAUGUACUGCAAGUCAGAGCCUGUGCCAGGAUGAGGGGCCUGCCCACUCCCCCAGUCACCUCCCAGCAAGGGGUUCCCCCAAAGCUCCUCCCAGAUACGCACGAAAGGGGGCGCUACCCUGUGUCUCCAGUGGGGGCGGUCCUAGUGGUGCUGAGACGGCCGUCUCUGCCGUUGCCCUUUUAAGAGCUCACCCCCCCACCCCACCACAACGGGGGCGGGGGUGCGGCAGGCAGGUUCCUGUUGCAGAAUCCCAGCAAGUGCGGCUCCCCAUCUGCGGAAAGGAGACGGAAAGCCAACCUUGCCAGUUCUCAAUCUCUAAGUCCCCGGACCUGCGGGCAGAGGGAGAAAGAAGAAAGCUGAUUUCUCAUCCUUGGCAUUACCCUGUGGUCACACGGAGGUUCCUUGGGCCUAGAGCCCCUGAGAGGCACAUCACAGGUCUCCUGCUGUGACAUACUGAGAGUGACGCUGGUGUGAGCAGAGUGCCUUGUUGGAAAAGAGUAAGCAUCUGACCCAACGCUUUUCAACUGGCUUCCUCCAGACCCUCAAGCUCCACAGGGGGCCCAGUGGAGAUGGGCAAGACCCUGACUCCUACUUCAACCCCACAGCACAUUUUUUUUUCAGAUUAUUAUUUUUAAAAUUUAUUUUUAGUUGGAAGAUUAUUGCUUUACAAUGUGUUGCUGUACAACCAUGUGAAUCAGCUAUAAGUAUACACACAUCCUCUCCAUCUUGACCCUCCUUCCCACCCCUGCCGUUCCACCCCUCUAGGGCAUCACAGUGCCUGAAGCUGAGUUCGCGCUAUACAUCUGUUUCCUGCUAGCUACCCAUUUUACUCAUAGUAGGGAUAUGUGUCUAUGCUACUUUCUCAGUUUUUCAGCGCCCCCUUCUCUCACUGUGUCCAUAAAUCUGUUCUCUAAUGUCUGAGUCUCUAUUCUUGCCCUGCAAAAAGUUCAUCAGUACCAUCUUUCUAGAUUCCGUAUAUAUGUGUUAAUAACGAUAUUUGUUUUUCUUUUUCUGACUUCACUGUGUAUAAGAGGCUCUAGGUUCAUCUACUUCACUAGAACUGACUCAAAUGUGCUCCUUCUUAUGUCUGAGUAACAUUCCAUUUUAUAUAUGUACCACAACUUCUUUAUCCGUUCAUCUGUCAUCUAGGUUGCUUCCAUGUCCUAGCUAUUGUAAAUAAUAGCAACUUUUAUCUGGCUUAUCAUCUGGGCUUC
rnacentral:lncRNA from 1 species